rnacentral:rRNA from 1 species
CAGUAGCCGCGGGAAUACGUAGGUGGCAAGCGUUGUCCGGAAUUAUUGGGCGUAAAGCGCGCGCAGGUGGUUUAAUAAGUCUGAUGUGAAAGCCCACGGCUCAACCGUGGAGGGUCAUUGGAAACUGUUAAACUUGAGUGCAGGAGAGAAAAGUGGAAUUCCUAGUGUAGCGGUGAAAUGCGUAGAGAUUAGGAGGAACACCAGUGACGAAGGCGGCUUUUUGGCCUGUAACUGACACUGAGGCGCGAAAGCGUGGGGAGCAAACAGGAUUAGAUACCCCAGUAGUCCCUGUCUCUUAUAU